GCGGGCGUGGCGGAACCGGUUGACGCGUCAGCUUUAGGAGCUGAUGGGCGCAAGCCCGUGGGGGUUCGAGUCCCUCCGCCCGCACCA
rnacentral:tRNA from 1 species